GACAGAGGGUGCAAACGUUGUUCGGAAUUACUGGGCGUAAAGCGCGUGUAGGCGGCCAUCUAAGUCGGGCGUGAAAUCCCACGGCUCAACCGUGGAAGUGCACUCGAAACUGGAUGGCUAGAGUCCUGGAGAGGAAGGUGGAAUGCUUGGUGUAGAGGUGAAAUUCGUAGAUAUCAAGCGGAACACCGGUGGCGAAGGCGGCCUACUCGGAUCGAG
rnacentral:rRNA from 1 species